CUACGGGGGGCACCAGUGGGGGAUAUUGCACAAUGGGCGAAAGCCUGAUGCAGCAACGCCGCGUGAAGGAUGACGGAUUUCGGCCUGUAAACUUCUAUCAGCAGGGAAGAAAAUGACGGUACCUGACUAAGAAGCCCCGGCUAACUACGUGCCAGCAGCCGCGGUAAUACGUAGGGGGCAAGCGUUAUCCGGAAUUACUGGGUGUAAAGGGUACGUAGGCGGCUGAUCAAGUCAGAUGUGAAAGCCCGGAGCUCAACUCCGGGAUUGCAUUUGAAACUGGUCGGCUAGAGUGCAGGAGAGGAAAGUGGAAUUCCUAGUGUAGCGGUGAAAUGCGUAGAUAUUAGGAAGAACACCAGUGGCGAAGGCGGCUUUCUGGACUGUAACUGACGCUGAGGUACGAAAGCGUGGGGAGCGAACAGGAUUAGAUACCCGAGUAGUC
rnacentral:rRNA from 1 species